rnacentral:rRNA from 1 species
AACGAACGCUGGCGGCAUGCCUAACACAUGCAAGUCGAACGAGACCUUCGGGUCUAGUGGCGCACGGGUGCGUAACGCGUGGGAACCUGCCCUUAGGUUCGGAAUAACUCCCCGAAAGGGGUGCUAAUACCGGAUAAUGUCUUCGGACCAAAGAUUUAUCGCCUUUGGAUGGGCCCGCGUUGGAUUAGCUAGUUGGUAGGGUAAAAGCCUACCAAGGCGACGAUCCAUAGCUGGUCUGAGAGGAUGAUCAGCCACACUGGGACUGAGACACGGCCCAGACUCCUACGGGAGGCAGCAGUGGGGAAUAUUGGACAAUGGGCGAAAGCCUGAUCCAGCAAUGCCGCGUGAGUGAUGAAGGCCUUGGUUGUAAAGCUCUUUUACCCGGGAUGAUAAUGACAGUACCGGGAGAAUAAGCUCCGGCUAACUCCGUG